AUCUGCCCUGCACUCUGGGACAAGCCCUGGAAACGGGGUCUAAUACCGGAUACUGAUCCUCGCAGGCAUCUGCGAGGUUCGAAAGCUCCGGCGGUGCAGGAUGAGCCCGCGGCCUAUCAGCUAGUUGGUGAGGUAACGGCUCACCAAGGCGACGACGGGUAGCCGGCCUGAGAGGGCGACCGGCCACACUGGGACUGAGACACGGCCCAGACUCCUACGGGAGGCAGCAGUGGGGAAUAUUGCACAAUGGGCGAAAGCCUGAUGCAGCGACGCCGCGUGAGGGAUGACGGCCUUCGGGUUGUAAACCUCUUUCAGCAGGGAAGAAGCGAAAGUGACGGUACCUGCAGAAGAAGCGCCGGCUAACUACGUGCCAGCAGCCGCGGUAAUACGUAGGGCGCAAGCGUUGUCCGGAAUUAUUGGGCGUAAAGAGCUCGUAGGCGGCUUGUCACGUCGGUUGUGAAAGCCCGGGGCUUAACCCCGGGUCUGCAGU
rnacentral:rRNA from 1 species